CCCUUAGAUGUUCUGGGCGGCCCGCGCACUACAAUGGCGUGUGCAGCGAGUGCCGAAGUAGAGUUUUCCGAGGUAUUCUUGCAAUGCUCGUUUUGAUGGGGAUAGACCCUUGCAACUGUUGGUUUUGAACGAGGAAUUCCUUGUAAGCAUGGUUUAUCAUCCGACGCUGAAUGCGUCCCUGCCCUUUGUACACACCGCCCGUCGCUCCUACCCAUGAGUCGUCCGGUGAAGUUCGUAGACCUCGUGAUCGCGGAUCACUGGGGGAAGCAAAAUGAACCUCGCGGUUUAGAGGAAGGAGAAGUCGUAACA
rnacentral:rRNA from 1 species